CGUGCUCACGUCGACAGCGGCAAGAUCACUUUUUGUUUUUGCAUUUGUUUUUCUGUGUACCACGGUAUUUUAGUUGGUUCCUGAACUAGUCAGCAAAAAGCCAUCACCGUUGAUUUUGGAUCAAUCUAGGUAGGUUCUCAAUUGUAUUUAACAGCAUGUACUGAACCGAAGAACAUGAUAAAAUUCUUGUCAGGGAAAUCAUCGCCAAUAACCCUUUUGAUGGCACUACAAAAAAGGGUACACCAGCUCGGGGAGCCAAGUGGAAUGCGGUGAUGAAUCAGCUACUGCAGAUAAGAGAACCAUCUUUCAAGGGAACCAGGAGAAGUCAUUGGACAAUGAUGCCAUCUGGAAUGGGACCAAAAUUUUUUGUCAAGCUUGAAACAUGAGGCUUCUUAACAAACAUCUAUCAAUGAACUUGCUGUUGAAGCCAGGUCAGUAGGAAGGUCCACAAAAGUAACUGCUUUAGCUAGCUGAAUAAGUACAGGCUUGCCGUAAGUGGAGACUUGAUCACCCUGGGCCAAAAUAAAUGUUUUAAUUUAUUUCACAUCCAUUUGGUCAAAGUUGGAAUUAGUAGAUGU